rnacentral:rRNA from 1 species
UACGUAGGGGGCAAGCGUUGUCCGGAUUUAUUGGGCGUAAAGAGCUCGUAGGCGGUUUGUUGCGUCGGCUGUGAAAUCCCGAGGCUCAACCUCGGGUCUGCAGUCGAUACGAGCAAACUAGAGUGUUGCAGGGGAGACUGGAAUUCCCAGUGUAGUGGUGAAAUACGUAGAGAUUGGGAAGAACACCAGUGGCGAAGGCGGCUAUCUGGACGGUUUCUGACGCUAAGACGCGAAAGCGUGGGGAGCAAACAGG